rnacentral:misc_RNA from 1 species
UUGACAAAUUUUUUGGUGACCAAGCACACGAGUGCCCUGACUCUGCAAGUGCUAGGCAAUGCCAAGGCUGCGGUGGCUGCUGUUGUUUCGGUCUUGAUCUUUAGGAAUCCGGUGACUGUGAUGGGAAUGGCAGGAUUCGCAGUUACGAUCAUGGGCGUGGUGCUUUACAGCGAGGCAAAGAAGAGAUCCAAGGUUACAACCCAUUGAAAGAUAAAA